CUAUUUAAACGACGUCGUUUUUAUGAAACUUAAAACAUACCAACACUUCAGCCAAAUAUCGACAAGUGUUGAAUAAACCCCUCUCUCGCUGCAACCUAAAAUCAAUGAACUUUGAGCCAUUCUCAACAACAUUGUGUAGAACCCUAGCCCUAACCCUCACUUCCACCACCGAAUAUUCUGGGGAGGGCCCCAACUGUGGAAAACACCUUUAAGCCCGUACCACAACUCAGACUAUAAGUUUCCGCUCGAACCGGGAGGCAUAAGUUCUCCCAACAAAGGCGACUUCCUUGCAACUCGAACUAAGGAACAAACCCAGUCAAGCCACUUAAGGGGACUCCAUUACCAGUGGAGCCAACACUUUGUUGGUGUGGCAUAUAUUUAUAUGUUCAGAGUUUAUGACAUAUUCAUGACUUAUAACUUAACUAACAUAAAUAAAUGAUAGAUAUAAGUGACGCUCAAGUUUUGUGGAUUUAUAAUAUCAUAAAAUGAUGACUAUUUAAACGACGUCGUUUUUAUGAAACUUAAAACAUACCAACACUUCAGCCAAAUAUCGACAAGUGUUGAAUAAACCCCUCUCUCGCUGCAACCUAAAAUCAAUGAACUUUGAGCCAUUCUCAACAACAUUGUGUAGAACCCUAGCCCUAACCCUCACUUCCACCACCGAUAAAGCUAAGAAAGUUUUCCGUAUAUCAGAACCAUGGCGAAUUGCCUUCAGCUCUUAGGACCCAUAAUAAAUCUUGUAUUCCCUCGCUUUCACUUUGCUAAUUUUUUGUAUUAUUCCAUCUCUUUCACUUUAAUAACCCAAAAUCUUUCUCUGUUUCAAUCGAAAGAAGACCCUAGCUUAAAUUAAGCUGAAAUUUACAUAUCAAAGCUCUCGCUCAGCUUCCCUCCUUCAAUUGAAACAAAACGAAGCCAUAAGACCCCAAUAUGCCACGCCCUUUUGUCUCAGGCCAACAUUCAUUUAAACCCUACCUUUCGGUUCAAUGCCAUUUAAUGCGAUUGCAGAUGCCGUUUCAACUCAUUAUUUAGUUAACGCCAUUCAGUUCUUUGCGGUAAGCCUUAACCCUAAUAACUAAUCAACUGUGGUAGCACGUUGCUGACUGGGGUGGGAAUACAUUAAUUGAAUAUAUGAAUUGGGUGAUGUCAGUGAUUCAUCCCCCUAUUUGCCGUUAAUGGAGAUUUGUGUAUAAUGUUUGUAAGAUUGUUAAAAAUUUCAUGUUCCAGUCGAAUUUCUUGCUUGUGGAAGAUAAAACAAAAGUUUAAUCUAUAUAUAUAUAUAUAUAUAUAUUAGCUUCUUUAUAGUCAGGCUCUGGCUUUGCUGCUAUGCUUAGUGCAGUUUAUGGUUUCAAGAUUAAAUUAGGUUUAUUUGACGACAUUGAUAUCUUAUCUAGCUCCGCUUGAAAAUGAAAAUGUUGUACUAGUAAUCAUAGACUUUGUUUAUUCAGUUGAUAUUUUAAUUAUACAUAUAAGAAUGAAGGUUUAUUUGGGAAAAAAAGAAAUAAAGAAAUAGGCUCUGUUGAAGCUAAUUAAUACUUCAUUCUUUCUAUACGUGCGACCUGUGGUGGAAACAUGAUAUGAAAAUGUGUUACUGGUGAGGUUGCUGCUUGAGAUGAGAAUGAUGAGAAUGCCUUCUAUUCGGAAAUCCUGCUGUACGGCCAAGGCGGAUGUACGGUACAGCAGCAACUUUUUUCUUGUUUUCCUUAUUUUCCACUGUUAAGCUCCAAAAUGAAUAACUUUAUUCUACCAUCUCUCAAAUAAUAAAAACAUCAACAGCACAUCAUCGUCAUCAAUAAUAAUAAUAAUAAUAAUAAUAAUAAUAAUAAUAAUAAUAAUAAUAAUAAUAAUAAUAAUAAUAAUAAUAAUAAUAAUAAUAAUAAUAAUAAUAAUAAUAAUAAUAAUAAUAAUAAUAAUAAUAAUAAUAAUAAUAAUAAUAAUAAUAAUAAUAAUAAUAAUAAUAAUAAUAACAGAGUGGAAGAUAAUCAGGAAGAGAUGAAUAUGUAUGAGGGUGAUGGUGAGACGAGUGAAUCUAAGAAUAUGGUUAAUCAAAACCAGGAAGAGAAUUUAGUGAAGGAGAGUUUUGAUGAGAAUACUGAGUCUGAAGAGGAAUCUAGGGCGGUGUCUAAAAAUUACGAUGUUAGAAAAAAGGAAGAUAAGGAAUCUGGGCGGUGUCUAAAAAUUAUGAUGUUAGAAAAAAGGAAGAUAAGGAAUCUAAAAGUGAAGGUGGAGAUUUGAAUUAAGAAGCUGGAGAAACAGAAGGCGGCGAAUUGAAUAAAAUUGAGCAAAUUGAAUCAGAGAAGAGCUUGGAUGAAAAUAAAUGGAUCAGGCUAGUCAGAUUGAAAAGGAGAAGGAUUCUCAAGAUCAAGAUAAUGACACUGAGAGUCGUUGAAAGGAUCAGGCUUCAACUGAGAUUUUUCCUUUUGGUGACUAGUCAGAAAUUCUGAAGGAAACUAAUGCUCAGAAUGGGGCUUGCUCAACUCAACCUAUUGAGUCAUAGAAUCAGAAAAUAUCACAACAAUCUUCUAUAUCUAAGGACCAGUAUGGUCGUCGCUGGAAAGUGUGUAAUGCCACUGCUAGGCCAGAUUGCAUCCCUUGCCUGGAUAAUUUGCAAGCAAUUAGAAUGCUUUCCAGCACAAAAGCAUUAUGAACAUCGAGAGAGGUAUUGCCCUGAAGAAGCUUGUACCUGUAUUGCUCCUUUACCGGAAGGAUACAAACACUCAAUUAAGUGGCCCCAAAGCAGGGAUAGGGUAUGAUCUUAUAUUAUGCAUUAUAAAAUAUAUACUUGACUACUUUUAAUUCACUUGGGCUAAGAUUUGUUCUCAUGCUGUGUGGGAUAGAUUUGGUAUUAUAAUUUUCCCCACACAAAGCUUGCAGAAGUUAAGGGUUAGCAAAAUGGGGUUAAAGUUACUGGUGAAUACCACAUUUUUCCAGGUGGCAGAACUGAAUUUGAGAAUGGUGCUCUUCAUUACAU
rnacentral:lncRNA from 1 species